GGUUUCAUGGUGUAGUGUUUAUCACAUCUGCUUUACAUGCAGAAGAUUUGGGGUUCAAUCCCCAGUGAAACUG
rnacentral:tRNA from 1 species